CAGCAGCAGCCGCGGGAAAACAGAGGGUGCGAGCGUUAAUCGGAUUUACUGGGCGUAAAGCGUGCGUAGGCGGCUUCUUAAGUCGGAUGUGAAAUCCCUGAGCUUAACUUAGGAAUUGCAUUUGAUACUGGGAAGCUAGAGUAUGGGAGAGGAUGGUAGAAUUCCAGGUGUAGCGGUGAAAUGCGUAGAGAUCUGGAGGAAUACCGAUGGCGAAGGCAGCCAUCUGGCCUAAUACUGACGCUGAGGUACGAAAGCAUGGGGAGCAAACAGGAUUAGAUACCCCCGUAGUCCCUGUCUCUUAUAC
rnacentral:rRNA from 1 species